CGAUAGAAAAGCGGAUGGUGGUUGGUAGUCCAGGGCGUUUUUCCAGGUGAAUUUGCCAGUCCAGAGGGACACUCGCACGCAGAAAAGCAGAUGAAGAUCUGGAAGGUCUGCGCUUUUCUUCACAAGCUUUGAAAAACAAAGUUUCCUACGUAGUUAGAGAAUGGCCCAGGGAUCACAGAGCUACCGCAUGGAGGAACCGGGAUCUGAACCUGGAUCAUCUGAUUCCACACCGCGCAGGGCCUCACCCUCCCUCAUGGGACAUGCUUGAGGACAGGCAUCACCUCCUCGCUUCUUUCCGGCCACCGCCAGCACCUGGCAGCCUGCCCGUAAUGGUCAGUACCCACCCCUGCCAACAUCAAAUGUCUUCACUUAAUCUCGUCUCUUCAGAGUUGAUUAAGGAUCAAAGUGAGUUCAUUUUUUCAUUGAUUCAUUCACUUAUUUAUCAACGAUGCACUGAAGGCCCCGCCUGGGCCCGGUGCUAGGGGUUGCCGAUGAGUAAGACAGGCUGUCUGCACUCAGGUGCUAGUGCCCAGGUCAGGGCCAGUGCGGGGUUCUCCAGCCUGGGCGAACAUUUCAAUCUCCCGGAGAGCUUUUUUGAAAAUGCCGAUGAUGCCUGGA